rnacentral:rRNA from 1 species
GAGGUAUAACUGACUGUACAAAGGUAGCAUAAUCAAUUGAUUUUUAAAUGAAAUCUGGAAUAAAAGAAUUAAUGAAAUAUAUACUGUCUCAUAUAUAUAAUAUAAAUUUAAACUUUUAAUAAAAAUGUUAAAAUUUAUUUAUGGGACGAUAAGACCCUAUAGAAUUUUAUAUUAAAUUAUUUUUAUAAAUAUAAAAUAUAAAAUAUAAAUUAAUAUUUAAUUGGGAGAAUUAUUAAACUUAAAAAAUUUUAAUAUUAAAAAACUUUAAUUAAAGAAAAUAUAUUGAUCUUUAAAUUAAAAUUAAUAGAAUAAAUUACCUUAGGGAUAACAGCGUUAUAUUUUUUUAUAGAUCACAUAGAAAAAAAUGAUUGCGACCUCGAUGUUGAAUUAAGAUAAAUUUU